UAAUUCAUAAAACCUCGAAUGUUCAAGAAAGAGGUUUAUGAGAGGGUGUUCCCCAAACACCGGAGAAGUUUUCUUUCAGAGUGAGCAACUCAGCACAUGCAAUGGAGUUUCCUUCUUCCUCCAUCUUCUCCCCUCGCCCCUCAGACGACACCGUUUUCUACGCCAUAUACCCUGACUCCCCCACCGUCACUGCCACCGCUACAGCCACCCCCACCGCGACGCUCCACUCCCUCCAUCUCCAAAUCCUCCAAACAAUAUCCCCCUUCACCCAAGGCUACAUCUGGCAGCACCAACCCUUCACUCUCUCCGUUUCGGCUCCCCCCAAUCCCUCUUGCCCCUGCUCCUCCUCAUCCAACCUCCCCCACCUCCACGGCCACCUCCGCUACGGUGACAACCUCGACGACGAGUGGUUUGCCGUCUUCCUCCUUUUCCAAAUCUCCCUCCGCUUCCCCUUCCUUUCCCUCCGCCUCUGGGACUCCGACGGCGACUUCCUCCUCAUUGAGGCCGCCUUCCACCUCCCUCGUUGGCUCAACCCCGACACCUCUCAUCACCGCCUCUUUCUCCGACAUGGAAACCUGCACAUCGUUCCCCGCGACCGCCUUCCCCACCCCUCCCUCGUCGACUCCCUCGCCUUCGUUUCCAAUUCCGGCCACGAAUCCCUCGCCUCCGACGCAAUCCAGCGAGCCGUGAAGAAACGCAUCGAGGACUAUCCCGAGCGCGCCAGGAGGAACAUGCAUAAGGUUAGGGUUAGGGUUCCGCUAUCCGUUGCUCGGGUUCUGAAGCAUGAGCCGCGAUUGAUUUCACUUGCGGUGGAGGGGUUCUACGACAGGGAUGUAGACACGAUGAAAUUCGCAGCGAGGAUGGAGAGGUUCGUGGAGAGAGGGGCAACAGAGGAGUUAGUCUGCGUUUCGGUGAAGAUGUCGAGGGCGAUGUACGCGCAGUUGGUGCAGCAGCGGUUUCAGGCUCCGAAGUGUUACCCGACGAUGCCGUGUCGGGUCGAGAGGGAGGGGUUUGUGGAGGCGGAGCUGGGGAUGAAGAUAGCGUGUGGAUUGGAGAUGAUGUAUCAGCAGCGGAAGCGUGAUGGGGUGGAAGGGCAAGGGAGCACUUGGGAGGCGUUUAGGAAGAGCUUGGAGAACAGUGGCUACUUCCAAGGGCUACUUCCGGGUUCCUCUGAGUAUCAGAGAUUGGUGCAGAGUGCUCAAGAGUAUUAUAGGAAUACUUCUCUCCAUUCGCAGGCCAGUGAGUUGAUGAAUGCUCCUGUUAGACGUAUAGAUGAAAUUCUUGCUCUGCCUCACUCAGUGGACGAUUUUAAGGAUCAAGAGGUUCCUCCAUCUGAUGAUGAUUCCUGGCUUUAUGGCGGAGAGGAAGAAUUGAACUCUGUUCUUAUGGAAAGACAAAAGGAGAUGGAGCUAUAUGACUUAAAACACAAAAAGAAAGGGAAAGCAAAAGAGGAUCAAGAUACUGGUCCAUCAUCUACUUUGAAUGCUGACGAGUUUGAUCCUGGAGAUAUAGCAAAGACCAUGCAGUCAUUUGUCCAUAAGUUGUCAAGUUACAAGGGUGCUGAAGCUCCUGAGGACAGGAAUAUGGAAGUGGACCUUGAUGUAGACCAAUUUAUUAAAGACAUGGGAUCAAUAAUGAAGUAUUCAGACAAUGAAGCUGCCAACGGCAAUAUUGAAGAAGGAUCAUCCUCUGACCCGGACUUUGAUGAUUCUGAGAGUGAUGUGGGUGAACUGGGGGAGGACGAUGAUGAUGAUACUUUCUUGCGGACCUAUUCUGAUGCUAUGAAUGAAGAACUAAAGGCAACCACCCUUCAGAAAAGUUUUGUUCGUGCCAAUGAACAGAUUCCAGAGAAUCAGGCACCUGGUUAGCAGAGGGCAUAUGGGAAUGCUUGCUAGUAAUGGUGUAACUUCACCAGGUUUUGGCACUUGAUAAGGGUUUGCCUCCAGAGAAAAGCAAGACAACGUUCAUCUGUAGCUUGUUUAUUGGCUGUAACAGGGGUCAUACAGGAGAAGAUUGAUUGUUUCUUUGGUUUGGAGCCAAAGAUAAAAGACCUCAGUGGAACCUUGGCCCGAGACUCUGAUUGUCUUAGCUGGCCAUUUUGCUGUCUUCUUGAAACCGAGAACCCAUGUUCAUCAUUCAAGUUCACCAGAGCCUUUUCUACGUCAAGUUGGAGAGCCGAUACAACAUCUAAACCCGCUUGAAGUUCAUCAGCAACCUUGUUGUUUUCCUGUUUCAUGUUCAAAAUCUCACCUUGGAACUUGGCAGCUUGGUAGCUUGUGAACCUGAAGUCAUCAUCUUCAGCACUGGAUUUCAAUGCUGCUGUUAUAUCCUCUUGGAUGCCACACAAAGAUGAGAAUCGAUUAUGCAGUUCUUCCUUCAACACGGCACCUUUUUCCAUCCAGACAGUUAUUUCACCCUGGAUCUCUGUUAGGUGUUUGUAAAUUGGUUUUGCAUCUGAUCUUAUAGAAUACUUUAUACUACUACUACCCUCUGACGUCUUUCCUCUUUCCUGUAGUUUUGACAGCUCGGUCUCCAAAUCUUUGAUAGUGGUUUGAAACUUCUGUAUCUCAGAGUAAUAAGCACUGAAAUUUAACCAGAAAGUUAAGUUCUGCUCUAGAAUUUCAUCCAUGUUUGACCGGAAUUUGUCUUCAAUAGGUGAAGUAGAUUGAGGUUCAACUUUUAGAACUUCCUCCAUGCCGUUCUUUUCUGAUGGCAUCACUACAGUUACCUCUGCCAGAUCUUCAUUUCCUUCAAAGCUUCUCUGCAAGAGAACUAGUUUUUGACGCAGAGUUCUUAUCUCUUCAUCUUUCGUGGCAUUGGCUGUCUUCAGUUCUUUUAGCUGCACAGAUGAAUCAGAGUUGCUAUCUUGAUUUUUCUUCUCUAUUUCAGCCAGCCUCUUCUUGACAUCUUUAUAGUUUCGAAGAGUAGUAGUAUAUUCAGCCAGCAGAACUUGUUCUCUAUCAUGCAUUCCAUUUGUAAACAAUUUCCGCCAAUCAGGUUCAUCUUGUGCUGUUGCUUGCUCCUUGGAAUCAACUUUGAGAGAAUUCUCUCUCUCACAUGAACUUUGUUUAGCAUAAUUUUCUUGCUGUUUCUCUGAACUCUCUGAAGAACUAUCUAGCUUGUUGCUUGCUAGUUGUUGUUCGACUUCCUGAUUUUCUGUGGGGUAGUUUCUUCCAUUUCUAAGGAACUGGUGACCUCAACCUCAUUUACUGACUUGACAUCAUUUUCCAAUGAACCGGUGAUAUUUGCAAAUGGUGAGCCAGUGACCUCAGGCUUGUCUGAUGCUAGAUCAUCUUCAACAGUAGCAGCAACCUUAAGCCCCUUAUCUGUUGCAUCAUCCUCUACCAAAUCAGCUGUAGAUUCGCAUUUUAAUUCCUCUUGGGGUGAUGAGUCCUUUUGUUCAUCUGAUAAAUGUGUGAUCUUAGCCUCCUCAUCUGGCUUCACGUUUUGGACUUUCUCUGAGAGAUGAUCAAGAUUAGAAUGUGCAUCAGUGAAUUGGGUUUGGAGAUUGAUAUUCUGAUCCUCUACAAUUUGAAUUCGAAUCUGCUCGUGAAGUUCAUCAGUUUCUGUUCUCAGUCUCUUCACCAUAGCGCUCUGCGAUGAUACUGAAGUUUCCAAAUUGAUCACUUUGUUCACUAGCUCAUCAAUCUUCUCUGCCAUCUCUGCUACACUGAAUGAUGAAUUGGAGCUAGUUUCAAAGUUCUCUUUAAGGUUCUUUUUUAAUAAUUGCAGCUCCUGCUUCUUCCGAGUCAAAUCAUUGGCAUUUUCAUCUAACUCUGUUUCUGCUAUUAUUUUUAAAUCACUUUGGAUCCCUGGCUCUUUAGAAUUCUUCCGUUCAUAAUGGAAUUCGUCCAUGAGAGAGCCCACCUUGGCCUUGACAUCCUUUACCCUUUUGGACUCGAUUUUAGUUUCAUCAAGUGAUCUUUCCUGUUUCUUUUCUAACUGCGUCAAUGCCUCUUGGCAUGAUUGAAGAGCAGCUCCUGCUAUCAAACGCCGAGCUUCAUCAUCUUCAAUGUCAACACCUUCUCCAAGUUCUUCAUGCAGAGAGGAAACUCUCUCUUGCAAUUCCUUUAUUUGCUCCUCAGUGUCCCAGUACCUACUAAGGGAAUUCUCAUAAGAGUUCUUUGCAAAUUCUUUCACAGUUUGUAGGGCCAGAAUCUCUUUCUGCAGCUUGUCAAUCUCUUCAAGGGCAUCUUUUCUGCUCAAACCAGAUUUAGGAACUUUUGGAGUAGCAGCAGCUGCAGUGGCAGCUGCUAUCUUGGAUUGCAAUUUCUUUGUGGCUGUUGCUGCUGUUAUGACCGUUUUCAAAUCUUUAUGGGGAGGCUUUGGUAUAUUUUUCAACCCUUCUGUUUUUUUUUUUGGAAGCCUUUGUGAUGGAUCAUCGUCAUCUUCAUCCAUAAGUGGGACGCGAUCUGGAAAGACAGAAGCAAUGGUGUUGUUGGCAUUUUGUAACUCUGUUGAUAUGUGAUCAUAUCGUUCGGCUAAAGCCCGGUAAGCCUUGAAUGAUUCCUCCACAAAGAUUAUCAGUUCCGGUCUCCUUUUGUAAUACAUUUCUGCUCUCUUGGCAAAAGAGUCACCCUCUUCCGCUAAGAGCUUCAUAACACUUUGCACUUUUUCCUCCAUAUCUGCAGUGUUGUUUAUAUAUUUUA